rnacentral:misc_RNA from 1 species
GAUGAAGAACGCAGCAAAAUGCGAUAAGUAAUGUGAAUUGCAGAAUUCAGUGAAUCAUCGAAUCUUUGAACGCGCAUUGCGCCCGCCAGUAUUCUGGCGGGCAUGCCUGUUCGAGCGUCAUUUCAACCCUCAAGCACAGCUUGGUGUUGGGACUCGCGUUAAUUCGCGUUCCCCAAAUUGAUUGGCGGUCACGUCGAGCUUCCAUAGCGUAGUAGUAAAACCCUCGUUACUGGUAAUCGUCGCGGCCACGCCGUUAAACCCCAACUUCUGAAUGUUGACCUCGGAUCAGGUAGGAAUACCCGCUGAACUUAAGCAUAUCAAUAAGCGGAGGA